GCGGCGGAUGGUCAAAGCGGUUCCCUCACGCAUCUCUCAUCCUCUCCCACGUUCUUCCCUAGGCCGGCGCAUUCUUCUCCCUCUCCGGCCAUUGUGCCCCCUACGGAGGCGGCCGGCAGCGUGGCGGAGGAGCUCAGAGCUUUCCCUCCUUCACGAUGCAGAUGGUGGCGAGGCCCUAAAUCUACUGUCUUCGAAAACACCAUGGGAUGGCCCUGAGGAUCAUGUACCUCAUGCUGGAGGGCUUCGCCGAGCUGUUCGUUGGCCGCCAUGGACACGGCCUGAUGCGCCGCGCUGUGUUUUGACUAGAGGCGGCGCGGGGUGCUGGUGGGGGGCUUAAGCUGCAGGAUUCGAUGUUGGAACUUGGACGGGAGCACUGCCCUGUCGUUGAGGGAUGCCGUGCGUAGCUGGAUGUUCAUGUGCCUCCUCUCCGGGAAACCAAUAGGAUAGCUACCUGGAGGCUUUCAAUGAAGAUCAUUGUGUGUGUCGCUUGAAUCUAGGAGUACAGGGAUCAGGCUACCCAACAAAAAAUGUUGAAGUUGGACUUCAUUUUUAUUACCGAGAGGGCAACACAAUGAAAGACUGUAUGCCGAUAAUUAUUAGUGGAUAUCAUUCCGUCAAAGACGAAUCAACAGCCAAAGAGGCAUGUUCUAUAUAGCAAUACUUCAGCGGGCCAUUAUGAAACUGCAUGCAUACUUCUAUUUUACAUCUUUGUUAAGCGGUAAACGAACUGAUGUAUUUCAGGGCAACACAAUGAAAGACUGUAUGCCGAUAAUUAUUAGUGGAUAUCAUUCCGUCAAAGACGAAUCAACAGCCAAAGAGGCAUGUUCACUUAAAAGAUGUUAGGUAUGGCUUUUGCAAUAUGUAGCAAUACUUCAGCGGGCCAUUAUGAAACUGCAUGCAUACUUCUAUUUUACAUCUUUGUUAAGCGGUAAAUCGCAAGCACCUUCCCUCUAGAUAUUGCAAGCUAUUAGUGAUGUUGUACAUAGAGGGCUACAGAGUAUGAUUUGGAUUGCUGUUGCAAAUUUCUACCUCAAAAGAUACUUUGUUAGUCCUAGCUUUGUUUUCGCCUUGCAAUUUUGCAUCUCCUAGAAUAAUAUGUUUGUCCUCAUGUCAGGACCUUAAAAGCAAUACAAAAAUUAUCAGGUUAUGUCGGCAUAUGAUUCUCACUUCAGUUUUCCAGUUUAUGAAUUUCUGUAAUUUUGAUUAUUCUUUGUUGCUCAACUUUUGAAGAGCAUAACGAUUGCAACUAUUUUAAUAGUUGUUGGUGUUCUACGUCUAUUGCUGCACAAUUGCAGAGCAUGUCUUCUGUCAUUUGCAAUGAUAACUUAAAGAAGAGAUCAAGGAUAAAGGUUUUGUUACACCUGGUUAUUGUACAUACUGUCACCGCUAUUCUUCUUAACUUAAACUGUGGCUGGACCCUAUUCACUGAAACAACUAUAUUGAUACAUUUCUCCAUUUACCUUUCUAAGAAUGUUUUUCUUUUAUUACAUUGCAGGAAACUUGCUAUGAGCACCCUUCAGUAUUAGUCUCCCCACAAGAUCAAAUGUGCAAUGAAUCACAUCAACGGGGGGAAAUAUUAGAUGAUAUUAGUCUUGACGUGGUACUAUACUACCACUCCUUAUGUAUUAAAUUUACAAACUUCGACAUUUUGUUCCAUUGGUUGACAGGAAUGUGUCCAGUUGAGGGGCAGCUCAGGCUGGGUUUCAGCCUAUUGGUGGUCCUGCUGUUGGUGAUCUUUUUGCCUAAAUUGAUUGGUAUGCAACUACCGAUUUUGCAUCUCCUUCAAAGAACUCUGCUAUCUGGAGAGAUCGUUCAGCCGUAGACAUAGCCGCCUUCGUUUAGAUAAAG